rnacentral:rRNA from 1 species
GAUGAACGCUGGCGGCGUGCCUAAUACAUGCAAGUCGAGCGAACAGACGAGGAGCUUGCUCCUCUGACGUUAGCGGCGGACGGGUGAGUAACACGUGGAUCACCUCCCUAUACGACUGGGAUAAAUUCGGGAAACCGGAGCUAAUACCGUAUAAUAUAUUGAACCGCAUGGUUCACUAGUGAAAGACGGUUUUGUUAUUACUUGUAGAUGGAUCCGCGCCGCAUUAGCUAGUUGGUAAGGUAACGGCUUACCAAGGCGACGAUGCGUAGCCGACCUGAGAGGGUGAUCGGCCACACUGGAACUGAAACACGGUCCAGACUCCUACGGGAGGCAGCAGUAGGGAAUCUUCCGCAAUGGGCGAAAGCCUGACGGAGCAACGCCGCGUGAGUGAUGAAGGUCUUCGGAUCGUAAAACUCUGUUAUUAGGGAAGAACAAAUGUGUAAGUAACUAUGCACGUCUUGACGGUACCUAAUCAGAAAGCCACGGCUAACUACGUG